rnacentral:rRNA from 1 species
AUUGAACGCUGGCGGCAGGCCUAACACAUGCAAGUAGAACGAGUGGCGGACGGGUGAGUAAUGUCUGGGAAACUGCCCGAUGGAGGGGGAUAACUACUGGAAACGGUAGAUAAUACCGCCUACCCUCGGAAGUGCCCAGAUGGGAUUAGCUAGUAGGUGGGGUAACGGCUCACCAAGGCGACGAUCCCUCGCUGGUCUGAGAGGAUGACAAGCAACACUAGAACUGAGACCCGUUCCAGACUCCUACGGGAUGCAGCAGUGGGGAUGAUUGAACAAUGGGCGCAAGCCUGAUGCAGCCAUGCCGCUUGUAUGAAGAAGGCCUUCGGGUUGUAAAGUACUUUCAGCGGGGAGGCGUUACCCGCAGAAGAAGCACCGGCUAACUCCGUGCCAGCAGCCGCGGUAAUUC